AGCUGUCUCUGAUCAUCAUUUCUCCCGAGGUUCCAUGGUGUAUGUGGUGGGUUUGUUUGUUUCUUGGGCUGCUGAUUCAAGUGAAAAGAGGUGGGAUCUGUGUGGCCAAGAGGUCGUGGCUGCUUGGAUUCCUGAUCGGAUUUGGCCGCGCUUCGAGUAAGGGAGGAGGGAGCUGCGCGGGAUGGCCGGAUUGGGCUCAGGGUCAGGGUAACUUGGGGAUGCUGGAGGAACCCGAUCCGCCAAUGCCUCUGAUUAUCAUCCAUGCCAUGUGAAGUUAGCCUUGGCGCACCUUAGGUCACCGUUUCCAUCGCCAUGUGGUGGAAGAAACUCUUCGGCAAAAGAUAGGUUUAUUGAAACAAAGAUUAUUUUUCUGUCGGGAUUUAGUGCGAAGGUGAAAUGCUGCGGUAAAGUUAGCAUCUACCUGUAGUUGUUGGUCUAGAUGAAUGGGUUGGCUCAGGAUUUGGAGGGACCACAUCAAUUUUGUUGAGCAGUCACAUCAUCUUUUCUUGGAAAUCAUUGCUCAUGAAAUGGCUUUGUAGUCUGAGAAUUAUUAUUUUUUUGUAAAAGUUUCAGGACAGUUGAGUCAUAUAUUCAUUCGGGUACUUGUAAUGUGUGGUAGCAAACUUGUAUGCAUACUUGCCUGUUAUCCAGCAGGAAUUCCAUUAAGCCAUAAGUGCAAUCUGGUAGGAAUCGAAUUCUACUUGGGACCAUUUGUAUAUAGUAAUCUUGUGAUUAUAAAUCCUUUUGAGUAGCUACACUAAUGGUAUUCAGAAUGAGUCAAGGUUAGCUAUUUCUGACCAGCAUGCCCCCAAAUAACCAAAAGAUAAUCCCCCAAAUCC